CCUACGGGGUGCAGCAGUAGGGAAUCUUCCACAAUGGGCGAAAGCCUGAUGGAGCAACGCCGCGUGGGUGAAGAAGGUCUUCGGAUCGUAAAACCCUGUUGUUAGAGAAGAAAGUGCGUGAGCGUAACUGUUCACGUUUCGACGGUAUCUAACCAGAAAGCCACGGCUAACUACGUGCCAGCAGCCGCGGUAAUACGUAGGUGGCAAGCGUUAUCCGGAUUUAUUGGGCGUAAGGGGAACGCAGGCGGUCUUUUAAGUCUGAUGUGAAAGCCUUCGGCUUAACCGGAGUAGUGCAUGGGAAACUGGGAGACGUGAGUGCAGAAGAGGAGAGUGGAACUCCAGGGGUAGCGGUGAAAUGCGUAGAAAUAUGGAAGAACACCAGUGGCGAAAGCGGCUCUCUGGUCUGUAACGGACGCUGAGGUUCGAAAGCGUGGGUAGCAAACAGGAUUAGAUACCCGUGUAGUC
rnacentral:rRNA from 1 species